rnacentral:lncRNA from 1 species
AAGAAUGCAGCCCCAUCAUAAGGGGGAAAAUGGCAAAAUAGCAAAGAGGUUUUGCACAAACAUAUACUGGGUCCAAGAUGGAGGCUUUGUUUAAAGUAGUCUAUCAUUCUCUGAAUUGGUAUUUUAUUCAUAAAACCAAAAGGCCUCUGAUUUAUAUGUGAUGUAUAUGUCUUGUGGGGUAAACGACCCUCAAUUAGCUAGAUUGUCCUUUUGCAUCCAAAUUUCCUUUGUAAUGAUGAGUUUCUUCCUUUUCCCCUUCUUUUUUUCUUUUCGUUCACACAUUUAGGCAUGGAUUUGUACAGUGAUUUAAUAUUUUGUUUUGUUAGAAAAUAC